rnacentral:rRNA from 1 species
AGUCGAGCGCUCGGCAUUCUCAGCAAUGAGGAUGACGGGAGCGGCAGACGGGUGAGUAACGCGUGGGAACAUACCCUUUGGUUCGGAAUAACUCAGGGAAACUUGAGCUAAUACCGGAUACGUCCCUGGAUGAGAGUCCGGGGGGAAAGAGGCAUCGCCGAAGGAUUGGCCCGCGUUCGAUUAGCUGGUUGGUGGGGUAACGGCUCACCAAGGCGACGAUCGAUAGCUGGUCUGAGAGGAUGAUCAGCCACAUUGGGACUGAGACACGGCCCAAACUCCUACGGGAGGCAGCAGUGGGGAAUAUUGGACAAUGGGCGCAAGCCUGAUCCAGCCAUGCCGCGUGAGUGAUGACGGCCUUAGGGUUGUAAAGCUCUUUCGCUCGGGACGAUAAUGACGGUACCGAGAGAAGAAGCCCCGGCUAACUUCGUGCCAGCAGCCGCGGUAAUACGAAGGGGGCUAGCGUUGUUCGGAAUUACUGGGCGUAAAGCGCGUGUAGGCGGGUGUUUAAGUCAGGGGUGAAAUGCCGAGGCUCAACCUUGGAACUGCCUUUGAUACUGGGCAUCUCGAGUCCGGGAGAGGUGAGUGGAACUGCGAGUGUAGAGGUGAAAUUCGUAGAUAUUCGCAAGAACACCAGUGGCGAAGGCGGCUCACUGGCCCGGAACUGACGCUGAGACGCGAAAGCGUGGGGAGCAAACAGGAUUAGAUACCCUGGUAGUCCACGCUGUA